rnacentral:rRNA from 1 species
AUUGAACGCUGGCGGCAGGCCUAACACAUGCAAGUCGAGCGGCUGAGUAGAAAUUGCUCCCUGAUUCAGCGGCGGACUGGUGAGUGAUACCUAGGAAUCUGCCUGUUAGUGGGGGCCUACGUUUCGACGGAAACGCUCAUACCCCAUUAGUCCUUCGGACGUACGUGUGGAAUCUUCGGACCUCCCGCUCUCACGUGAUCCUAUGUCGGAUUAGCUAGUUGGUGAGGUAAAGGCUCACCAAGGCGACGAUCCGUAACUGGUCUGAGAGGAUGAUCAGUCACACUGGAACUGAGACACGGUCCAGACUCCUACGGGAGGCAGCAGUGGGGAAUAUUGGACAAUGGGCGAAAGCCUGAUCCAGCCAUGCCGCGUGGGUGAAGAAGGUCUUCGGAUUGUAAAGCACUUUAAGUUGGGAAGAAGGGCAGUAAGUUAAUACCUUGCUGUUUUGACGGUACCAAAAGAAUAAGCACCGGCUAACUUCGUG